rnacentral:rRNA from 1 species
CUGACACAGGUGCUGCAUGGCUGUCGUCAGCUCGUGUCGUGAGAUGUGGGUUAAGUCCCGUAACGAGCGCAACCCUUGUCCUUAGUUACCAGCACGUUAUGUGGGCACUCUAAGGAGACUGCCGGUGACAAACCGGAGGAAGGUGGGAUGACGUCAAGUCAUCAUGGCCCUUACGGCCUGGGCUACACACGUGCUACAAUGGUCGGUACAAAGGGUUGCCAAGCCGCGAGGUGGAGCUAAUCCCAUAAAACCGAUCGUAGUCCGGAUCGCAGUCUGCAACUCGACUGCGUGAAGUCGGAAUCGCUAGUAAUCGUGAAUCAGAAUGUCACGGUGAAUACGUUCCCGGGCCUU